rfam:TPA: Bos taurus chromosome 6, whole genome shotgun sequence.
UCCCUUGUGGCUCAGCUGGUAAAGAAUCUGCCUGCAAAGCAGGAGACCUGGGUUUGAUCCCUGGGUUGGGAA